CUACGAUCCUGCCUCUUGCCUGUUCCUGCCCCGACCCCGGCGCACGAGUGACAUCUGGUGACCCGACGUGUGUCCUGCAUCGAUCGGCCUUUGCCCGGGACCUUCGCCGGACCCCUCGGGCGCUGGUUGCGCCCUCACGGCUUGGCUGCGUUCGGACACUUUGUUUCCCCGGAGAGAUACUGGAGUGCGAUGGGUACCUGUGAAGUGUGUCCGCCCUGACUUGCGACAUCAGAACGGAAAUGUGGCCAACAGGCAGCCUUUGAAUGACGACCAAGAUGAUGACGACCAAGAUGAUGACCAAUAUGGCGGCCAAGAUGACGACCACCCAUCAGAUGGCCCAUCCACGAGCAGGGACUGAAUUCCAUCCUGCCUUUUGAAAAGAACUGUUCUGAGGACUGGUUUUGGACUGAUGGUGUGUUUUAUAAGAGACGAUCACAAGACCCGAUCUCUCUGGCCAUUUUAAUUGGCAUCCGACGAGGGGACCUCUGGAGCCGUGUUUGUUCUCCUUUCUGCAAGGGGCCCCGCAGAGGACUACAAACAUCACCUCCAUUUUUUUAAAUAAAACUAAAAGGGGGACCUGUGGAUGCCAUGGGACAGGGAGAGAGAAAUGGCAAGCGUUUCUCACAGCGGCUUGUGAGAAAUUUUAGGGAGCUGGAAAAAUGUGAUAACCUGUUGACUAUAAACAAUUUGCAGGUGCUGUUUUUCUACUUUAUUUUUUUGUUCCUCUCAAGGACAGUGGGUGAGAAAGAUGCUUUUGUUAGUUAGCCAAUAAAAUAGAAUCUAUCGUACCACUCUAUAAAAA